rnacentral:rRNA from 1 species
UACGUAGGGUGCAAGCGUUAAUCGGAAUUACUGGGCGUAAAGCGUGCGCAGGCGGUUCCAUAAGACAGAUGUGAAAUCCCCGGGCUCAACCUGGGAACUGCAUUUGUGACUGUGGGGCUAGAGUACGGUAGAGGGGGAUGGAAUUCCGCGUGUAGCAGUGAAAUUCGUAGAUAUUAGGAAGAACACCAGUGGCGAAGGCGGCUCACUGGUCCGGUACUGACGCUGAGGUGCGAAAGCGUGGGGAGCAAACAGG